rnacentral:rRNA from 1 species
GACGAAGGGUCCUAGCGUUGUUCGGAAUCAUUGGGCGUAAAGAGUAUGUAGGCGGCUAUUCAAGUCGGAUGUGAAAGCCCGGAACUUAAUUCCGGAACUGCAUCUGAUACUGUUUAGCUUGAGUACGAGAUGGGGUCGUGGAAUUCCUGGUGUAGUGGUGAAAUACGUAGAUAUCAGGAGGAACAUCGGCGGCGAAGGCGGCGACCUGGCUCGAUACUGACGCUGAGAUACGAAAGUGUGGGGAU